rnacentral:sRNA from 2 species
UCGUAGCCCCGAUGGGAGGGAAAAUCCUUUUUUUAUAGUUAACAGGUUGGCAUAACCUGUUAACUAUAAAAAAAGAUUGGAAGGACAGCGGGACAUUAU